UACGUAGGGGGCGAGCGUUGUCCGGAUUCAUUGGGCGCAAAGAGCUCGUAGGCGGCUUGGCAAGUCGGGUGUGAAAACUCCAGGCUCAACCUGGAGACGCCACCCGAUACUGCCAUGGCUUGAGUCCGGUAGGGGACCACGGAAUUCCUGGUGUAGCGGUGAAAUGCGCAGAUAUCAGGAGGAACACCGGUGGCGAAGGCGGUGGUCUGGGCCGGUACUGACGCUGAGGAGCGAAAGCGUGGGGAGCGAACAGG
rnacentral:rRNA from 1 species